ACAUACAAAUGUCAUUCCAGUUUACUUGUCUUACUCAGGUUUUCUUGCUAGAAUUUUUUCAAGAUGUAGCACAACAGAACCAAGCAACCAAAACAGAACCAAGAAGGGAGUCAAGACUAUCAUGCAACACUAGUUUGAUUCAUUCACUAUAAAGGUAGGUCACAUUUAGGGAUGGGUAUCGUUUAGGUUUUAUCCGAUACCGGUGCCAAAUCGGUACUUUUGAAACGGUGCCGGUGCUUAAACGGUGCUCGAACCGGUGCUUAAAGAAUGGAGAACACAAACUUUGUCCAAAAACCUCUCAUGUUCAGCUGGGGUUUUUUUGUAAAAAUAUAACAAUGUUAGCCUUUUCUGCAGCUAUGUGGCAUGGUAUCACUCUUGGCUGGAAGCAGUGCUUAAUCAAUGGAACAAACACAAACUUUGUCCAAAAACCUCUCAUGUUUAACUGUUUUCCACUUUUUCUUUGGUCAUUUUAGCCUUUUUGGCCAGGGUGAAGGGAGUAUCUGCCAUUAAACAAGAAGACAGCCGCAUGUAGCUAUGAUGAUGUUUGCUAGUUCACCUUACCUGCAUUAAUGUAAUAACGUGGUUAGCCUACUCAACGUAAGUUACACACUAACAACAUUAAGCUACUCACGCAGAGAAGAACAGCUGCUGCAUCAUCAUCAUCCUCAUCAUUUCUGCUACACUGGCAGGGCUAGGGGCCAGGACUCUAUUCUUCGGGGUUUUGGGGGAUGUUGCUCCGGGUCCGAUAACUGGCAACCCACCCGACGUGCACGGUGUGAGGUCUCGCAGCAAGCUAUCAAAUACGGCGCAUUUCUCGGCUUUUAAAAAAAACGCUAUGCGUCGCCAGCUGUUUAAUCGGAUUCUUGGUGUUACCUCCUUUGACAGUAUCACAGUAUCAGCUUAAAGCACUUGUUGCUGCUGAGUUUGCACAUUUUGCUGUGAAGUACAGCCAGACUUUUGACCGCUUCGCCUUGGGCAUUUUUAAUCUGUAGCUCUGCUCUAAGAGAACGUACGUACCUGGCCCCGCCUACUAUCCUCGGAAACGUAAAAUGAUUGGCUAGAAGUGUAUCACAGCUCAGGAAAAAAAAGCACCGAAAUAAAGCACCGAAAUGUGCGCUGCUUUUCGGUCUGGUUACUACCGUUUAUGUCAGAACCGGUGCCAUCAUGGCACCGGACACCGGUACCCAUCCCUAGUCACAUUAGUUGAAUGCUUACUUUUCUACUCAACCUGAGGGCUUUAUACAGCAUUACUCAUUCACCCAUUCAUACAAGCAUCUUCUUUCUAUGCUUUUUCUACUUUUUCUGUCUAACAUCCACAUGUAUUCAUGCUCUGAUGGAUGCAUUCAAGAGCAAUUUGGGGUUAUUAAAAUAAAAAUGGAGUGGUGAACCUUCCAACAAGUUGCCAGCCUACCAAAAUCGGUCCAAGUUUUCUCCAUUUGUUGAUAAUAAAUCUCACUGUUAUUCCCUUUUAACCCUUUACAGACUGAUGCCAAUGCCUUUGUUUUUCAUCUUUUCUAGAGCUUCUUUCUGGCAUGAUGUUUUGCUUCAUGAUACCAUUUAUCAUACUUCACUUUAUCAGACACAUUCUAUUUAAGUGACUUCUUGAUUCAAGAGGUCUGGCAGUGGGGUGGCUGUAGCUCAGGUGGUAGAGCAGGUCAUCUACUGGUCGGAAGGUUGGUGGUUCGAUUCCUGGCUUCCCCUGCAUGCCAAAUAUCUUUGGGCAAGAUACUAACCCCAAAUUGCUCUCCGAUGCGUCCAUCGGCGUAUGAAUGUGUGUGAAUGUUAGCUAUAAAGCACUUGGAAAAAUGUACUGGUGUUAAUGGGUGAAUGCACAAGUUGUGUAAAGUGCUUUGAGUGCUCAGAUGAGUAGAAAAGCGCUAUAUAAGAACCAGUCCAUUUACCAUUUAAUCAGGCUUUGCCGUGGCUAGUGAAACUGAACUCAGCUUUCCAAUUCAUAUGGUUUGUCAAAGUUAAUAAAUGGUUCAAAAAGGAGUAAUUACUUUUUCACACAGGGCUGUCCCAGUUUGGAUAUUGUUUUCUCUCAAAGUCAUCAUUUAAAAAUUACAUUUUGUAUUUACUCAGGUUAUCUUUGUCUAAAUUUAAAAUUUAGUGGCUGGGAUUGACUCCAGCCCCACUGGAACCCUGAUACGGAAGAGCACAGAUGGAUGGAUGGAUGGAUGGAUGGAAGGAUCUUAAACAUGUAAAUGUGACAAAUAUGCAAAAAAAAAAAAAUCAGAAGGGAAAAAAUACUUUUUCGCAACACUUUUUGAGCACACCUAUUUUCCUAUUUCGCUGUUCAGAGAUUUCACAGUAUUCCUCAAAGUUCAACAGGUGCCUGUCUCUGCAAGAACCAUUCAGCUCAGCAGUCUCACAGACCCACUUGAAAAUGGUCACCAUUGUCCCAUUUAAAGUGUAUAUGACAUCCCAUGUAAAGUUUCACACAAGAUUCCCUAAGCUCCCUAAGCUUCCCGAGUUGUUUUGCACUGAAUGGAACUGGAGCUUCGUCAUCUCAUCUCUCUAUAUACUGAACUGUAUAUAGCAGAGAUGACAAUAAAGUUUACUUUGACCAUCUUUUUCUCUUAUUUAACAAACACUGGUCAAUCUGCGAUCCUUCUGACGAUAUAUGUCAAAUUUAACCCAUAAAUUCAAUGUAGAAUGAUUUGCAAAGUAUAUAUAAUAAAACAAAGUAUGAAUGUAUGUUUAAAAGUGGCUUAUUCACUAAAGCCUUAGUCAGUAAGGCUAAAAAAGUGCCAUAUAAAUGUCAGUCUAUUAGUAGUACUUCCAACAUUCUUGAAAAAUAAUGGCAGAUUAUUAUAUAGUAAAAAUUAGUCUUGCAUUUGCCUGUAUAAUAGUUUCGAAAUAGUUUCUAAAUGCAGUGCCAUAUGCUGAAGUUUUACUAUAAUAAAAGACAUAACCUGUCCUGUUAAAACCUUUAAAAAAUUGAGCUGAACAAUGCAACUGGCAUUAUACUGUGAGUCUGAAUUUUAUUCCCACCUUCAUCUGGUUUUUUCUUCAUUCUGUUUAAUUUUUUUUGAGAGUACCUAUAUACCAGCUUCAGGGAGUAGACAUGUUUUAAGGCAUUGCAACUGUUAUUUUGUAGCACCUUCACCAUAUCUAAAGAGACAAGUUAGAUCCUUAUCCAGGUUUACUAUAUCCUCAAAAAUAUUUGGCUGCUUCAUUUCACCAGUGUACUGUACUAUUGUGUGUCUGAUCCUGUAAACCAGGCAGCCCCUUUCCUUUGUAAAAGAUGCAAAUGUGUUUUGAAAUUUGUACAGUGUACAGAGCUAGACAAAAUUCUGCCUAGAUGAACUGCAUUUGUGUUUAUCAUGUGCUAUUUGGAUGGAUGUGGAGAGUUUAAAAUUUCAGUUAACUCCAUUCCACAUCUGCGUGGUCAGUGCUAUUUUUACUCUUUAACCACUACCUUUAAGAUCCACAUGAAUGCAAAAUCAAAUUUAAUAGGUUUUGGACAGUAUUCUGUUUAUUCCAUUCCAACAUAUGUUCUUGCUUUUGAUAAAAGAUGUUUAUGGUAAUGCAC
ensembl:lncRNA